GAUGACUGGGAGGCUGGAUGCGUGGCAGCCCUGGGUCUGCUUGGUGCUCUGGCUCGCUCUGACGAGCCCGUGAUGACGGAGAAGCUGCCCCAAGUUGCUGAGGCUGUGCAGUGUCUGUGCAGCGACCCCAGGAUCCGGGUGAGGACGGCUCUUCUAUAUUUCAUCAAGGAUCUGCUCAGUUCUAACACCCGGAGCUGCUCAGCCUGGGAUGUGGUGGGGCACAUCUUCAGGGAGUUCAACCGCGCCACGGGAAGAAGG